AAGGGUUGUCUACAGAAGUGCAGACAGUUGUCUUUGCUGCAAGCCAGCUGGAUGAAAGCCAGUUCUUGCUCAAAAGCCAUGUGGCAGAGUUACUGUGACUAUAAGCUAAAGCUGCUGUGUCCCGCCUCUUCGUUCAGAGUUCUCAUAAAGAAAACAAUUGCUUUUUCUACAACAUGAAAUAAAGGGCAAAGCAGGAAGAUGAAUUUCCCUACAAAGAACAGGCUGGGGCAUAUUCUUCUGGAUUAUGCAUCUUCAAAGACCUUCUCUGGAAGUAACGUAUAAACAAGACUUCUGCCAGAGCCUGUCUUUAGUCCACAUGCCAACUGCAAAUAGGUCCUCUAGAAUCCAAGGACUUGCUUUCGAGGACACUCGACUCUGAUCAGCUUGUAUCCAAGUGCCUUACUGGAUAUAAAUUACUUCCAACUGCUGUGAAAAGUCACCCCUUCUUUGCAGUUCUCAAAGACAGCUCAGACAGUGGAGAAAAUCUUUAUGUGCUUGAAACUGCAGUUACUUAUUUCACUGGCCUCAACACAAGUAUUCUUUUCUGACACUUGAAGUCUUGAGCUGGUCCCUGUAGGAAAGAGCACUUAAACCAGGAGACAGAGACCUAUUUUGCUAAGAUGUCUCUCUGAUGGACACCUUAUGGAGGCAAAGGUGCCCAGGUGCUGCUGGAACCGCUGCCAUCACACCUAGGAAGAUUUGGAGGUCCACUCUGAAUUUCAUUAGAUGUAGUGCAGAAAGCACUACUUCAGGGAGAAAGAUAAAAAGCACAGGUGCUUCCAGGGAAUGCUCGUUAAAAGGAAGAAGUACUUCUGUCUGCAUCUGGUGAAGUCAGCCCCAAAGUAUUUGAAAUACUAAACAGCACUGGCCAGAAAUUGUGUCCUGAUGCUCACAGAUCUAUGACUAUUUACCUGAAUACAGAGGAAAAAGUGUUCCCACAGAAAAAGAAAAAUAACUCUUCAGAAAUUUCUCGAGUCAUUGUAACCGAAGUAUAUAAGGUAUGAAUUGAAUGCUUUGAUUAUCAACCUUCAUGAAGCCAGGGCUCUGCAGAGCAAGAACUUUUUAUGAAAGCAAGUAUAUAAGAGCAUCUCUGAAAGUUGUUAAAUGUUUACAGCAGCAGUAUAAGUUAGUGGAAUAGUAUCAUCAUUGGCAUUUUGCUGGAGAAACUCUGUAGUUUGGCAGAAUGAUCACAAGUUGGACGUGUUUAUCAACCUUUGCUGAUCAAAAGUAGCAUCAGCGGAAACCAGUGCAAGAUCCUGGAUUGUAAUAUUCAGUUCAAAGUAAUACAUUUAGUAAAAGCCAUGCUCUGUUUUUUAUAGCUCCUUUUAGU